ACGCUUGAAAUACGCCGCCGCGCACCGUAUCUAAGGCGUGUCCCGGCAACGGGACUAUGGGCAUAAACGCGCGUGAAAUAAGCGGUUCGGACCCGGGGGCGGUACCCGGCGGCUCCACCAGACAUCCCGUCGUUGGGGGAUCAUGGGGCCGAAACAGGAUCGACGAACGUGUAAAGACGUGGCUUUGUCCCGGUGAGGUACCACCGUUAUCGGUCCGUAAAGCAUAAUUGCCAACGACAAUCGUGCUCCGGUUGCUCUGGCUGCGUAAGCAGUUCGAGGAAUCGAAAUCUAAGCCCUUGCGCCUAGCCGCGUAAGGCGGGGUUCGCAGGCACCUGGCAACAGAAGCCUGCACU
rnacentral:tmRNA from 1 species